UGUGUCAGUGUGUGUCUGUGAGUGUGUCAGUGUGUGUCUGUGAGUGUGUGAGUGUGUGAGUAUGUGUCAGUGUCUGUGAGUGUGUGUCAGUGUGUGUGUCUGUGAGUGUGUGUGUCAGUGAGUGUGUCAGUGUGUGUCUGUGAGUGUGUGAGUAUGUGUCUGUGAGUGUGUGAGUAUGUGUCUGUGAGUGUGUGAGUGUGUGUGUGUGUCAGUGUGAGUGUGUGAGUGUGUCAGUGUGUGUCUGAGUGUGUGUGUCAGUGAAUGUGUGAGUAUGUGUCAG